ACUGCUGGGCGUGAUGUGACUGACAUUGUGGAUUGCAUGCCGCUUGUUGUCUCCUGGAUCUACCAUAGGUUGCCAUCAUUUUAUCCGGUGGGAUAUAACGUCAGUAGGUUCCCACUUGCAGCUAGUUGGCAGAACUAGGACAACAAAUUCGGGAUCACCACAAUGGCAAGAUUCAGACUUUACGUCGUUGCAUCGAUAGCCUCACCUUUGAUCAGAGUUUCAUCAUAUUGACAGAGUCAAGAGGCAUUUCGGGGAGUAGCAGCACAGGUCAGCAGAUCCGGUGAACGUCAACGAGUUUCUGUUCAAGACGACGAGGGGAGAUUAUGCCUGGUGGCACGAUGUGCAUUGUGACUGGUAGGACUUGUUUAGGGGACGUUACCAGCUACACCACUUGGUGACCAUCAAUGGCCACCCUGAUCCUCGUCCGACACAGGAGUACCUCACAUGGUGGCAGCAGGCAUGCAGAGUUAGAUUUCUAUUCGGGGAGGACAUCCUUGCCUGCCACCUUGGUCUGAUGCAACGUCAAAGAUUUAUGACUCUCGUAGUGGUUACUUGUGGUUUAGUAAGAAGUUUGGUUGGGAGGAGUAGGGGAAUUGACUUUGGCUUUAGAGUCACUUUGUUCCAGAAAAAUAUAAAUUUUUGGCUUGACUUUGUCUUAGGGAUGCUCUAUCCACUACUGCUUUUUAUUCCAAGAUGAGCAUCUCACCGAUGGACAGCUGUUUACGAUAUUUUUUUGGUCAAAAAUUGGUUGUUCAUUGUAUUUGGGAUUGUCCGAAAACUCAGCUAGUUUGGCAAGCUUUUGAGAUUUCUAGUCAACCUCUAGAUUUGACGAACUGGUUCUUGCUUCAUAGCAAAAAGUGUCCUUUUAGAUUCUAUUAUGGUCUACGAUGGAUUUGGCAUUCUAAAAAUAAUGAGAUCUUUCAUCCACACGAGUCUUGACCCCUAAAUAAGGUGACUAGUAUGGUUUUGUCUUUAGAAAAAGAGCUUCGGAAUGCUUUUGAGUUGCAACGAGUGUUUAUUCCCUCUACCAUUAAUUGCUCAUGAAUUUUCUCUUCGGUGGGUACUUUUAAGAUUAAUUAUGAUGCAAGUUAUUCUGGUACUGGUGAUCGUGUUAAUUUUGUUUGUGUUAGCAGAGUUUGGAAUGAAAAUUGGUAAUAAAACUGUUUGGGAACGAUUGAGAACCAUAAUAUUCUGCAAGGAAAGUUGUUUGCUAUUUGAAGAGGAUAUUUUUUAGUCUGGGACUUGAGGCAAAUAGAUGUUAUUUGUAAGACAAAAUAUGUUGAUGCAUUUAUUCUUGUCAAUAAUUUUCAGGAUAACUCUGGUUUUGUUGAUCCUUUGGUGUUGAAAUUCAGGGACAUCAUGUUUUGGAAAUUGCGUGUUGAUCUCAGGUUGAUCUUGAGAGAUGCAAAUAAAGUGGCGGACAUCAUGGCAAAGACGACAAUGAGAAUUCACUCACCAAAUGAAACUUCCGUUGCUUUGGAAGAAGUUUGAGAGUAGCAUUUAGCGGGAUUGGCUAUUUU